UCGAGGGAGCCAGGCGGCGGUAACGUCGUGAACCCCGUCAGGCCCGAGAGGGAGCAGCGGUAGCGGUUGUUGCCGGGUGCCUGGUUCCUUCAGAAA
rfam:Desulfovibrio alkalitolerans DSM 16529 ctg8, whole genome shotgun sequence.